ensembl:lncRNA
ACCAUCCAUUACUACUAUCGUCGUACUUUAAUCCUACGUUUCAGUACAUUCAGCUGCUACGUGUUUACUACUUUUAGCAAAAUGAUUUAAAUGCUAUUAUCUACCAGUUUCACAAAUUAUCCAUUAUGUUUAGGUAACAAUUUUGUUGCUACUUUUAGCUAACAGAUUCAACUGUGAAUUAUACUUUCAUCAUGCUAUCCAAUUGAUACUCAGUGCUGUUAUCUAACAAUACAGCUGCUAGUAACAAUUUUAGCAUUGACAGUUUAAAAAAUUGGCGCAGCUUCUAAAAGCCUGCAUUUAGUUUAGUUUAGGGAGUUUAUGGACUCCAUCAUUUACUUUGGGUCAUGCUGAACAAAAAAUUAAGUCUGUUUUGUAAAUCUUCCUCAUACUAUGUUUCAAAAUGAAGAUUAAGUGUGGCUUGAAACCGAAAACUCAUUAGCUAGCGACCUGGCAAUCACAAGUCGCAUCUGUUACUUUGCAACCAAGAUGACAACAGCUCAACUCGAGGCUUCAAAAAGGACUUCAGAAACCAGGAGGUGAUGUAGCGAUAGCCACAUCCAUCGUACACAGUUUUUAGUAAUUUUUUUUUAAAAGCUCAAUUAGUCUCCGAGAAGCGGGGAGAAGCUAUUAAACCUGAGGAGCGCUGGUGCCGACAGUACAGAUACAGAGGUGAUGAGCUGUCACGGGAGGAGUCGUUACAUGAGACGAGAACACAUUCGCACAAAGCCGAGGUGGACACACACACCUGACUGACAUAAGAGUGAAGCAGUUCAAGCAGAGAGAAAAAAAAGGUAAUUAGCACUCAGUGAAGCGUGGAACACACUGCUCCUGUUAGAUGCAUUCCUAAUAAGCAGUAUCUCGAUGGAAGCUGAAGCCGGGGCUCUGCUCCGGUCGGGAACAAUCAACAGCUCGCUCAUUGUUAAUGGCUGAGACUUAGGUCAUCCUUCCAGACAAUGUUUAAGUGAGCAGAGGGGCUGCGGCGACAUAUACCGAGUAACAAUUACAAGGUGUCGACCUGCACAGGGGCCCUCGUUAGACUUAACUGAUCAAAUUAAGACAGUAUGCUGCUGCAAUUGACAAACAGGAAGCAUAAUGAUUUUUUUUUUUACGCAGGGAAUGUGUGUUGCCCGUGAUCAGGCUGGGGUGAAAGGACACGGCAGGAAUAAAUUAAUUUGUGUGUCUG